rnacentral:rRNA from 1 species
CAACUCGCCUACACGAAGCUGGAAUCGCUAGUAAUCGCGGAUCAGCACGCCGCGGUGAAUACGUUCCCGGGCCUUGUACACACCGCCCGUCACACCAUGAGAGUCUGUAACACCCAAAGCCGGUGGGAUAACCUUUAUAGGAGUCAGCCGUCUAAGGUAGGACGGAUGAUUAGGGUGAAGUCGUAACAAGGUAUC